rnacentral:rRNA from 1 species
AUUGAACGCUGGCGGCAGGCCUAACACAUGCAAGUCGAACGAGUCGCGGACGGGUUAGUUAUGUAUGGGCAACUGCCUGCUGGAGGGGUACAACUAAUGGUAACGGUUGCUAAUUCCGCACAGCAUCGGAUGUGCCCAGAUGGGAUUAGCUAGUAGGUGGGGUAAAGGCUCACCUGGGCGACGAUCCCUAGCUGGUCUGAGAGGAUGACCAGCCACACUGGAACUGAGACACGGUCCAGACUCCUACGGGAGGCAGCAGUGGGGAAUAUUGGACAAUGGGCGCAAGCCUGAUGCAGCCAUGCCGCGUGUAUGAAGAAGGCCUUCGGGUUGUAAAGUACUUUCAGCAGGGAGGCGUUACCCGCAGAAGAAGCACCGGCUAACUCCGUGCCAGCAGCCGCGGUAAUAC